rnacentral:misc_RNA from 1 species
GUGAAUCAUCGAAUUUUUGAACGCAAAUUGCACUCUCUGGCAUCCCGGAGAGUAUGCCUGUUUGAGGGUCAGUUUAAUAAAAAUCGGCGUUUCGCGUUCGUGAUCCACGGGAGGUUGGGUCUUCUUAUCGUUAUGUUUUGAGUUUUAAAAUUGAUAUCUUUUUUGCGCGCUUUUCGACGGACAUUAUUUUUUUUUUUCUACUAUUCCGGUGUCAAAUUUUACU